rnacentral:rRNA from 1 species
GAGUUUGAUCCUGGCUCAGGAUGAACGCUGGCGGCGUGCUUAACACAUGCAAGUCGAACGGGGCCACCAUUUUUGAAGCGAUUAGCUUGCUAAGAGUGGAAAUGUUGGCGGCUUAGUGGCGGACGGGUGAGUAACGCGUGGGUAACCUGCCUUGCACUGGGGGAUAACACUUAGAAAUAGGUGCUAAUACCGCAUAAGCGCACGGAGCUGCAUGGCUCAGUGUGAAAAACUCCGGUGGUGCAAGAUGGACCCGCGUCUGAUUAGCUUGUUGGCGGGGUAACGGCCCACCAAGGCGACGAUCAGUAGCCGGCCUGAGAGGGUGGACGGCCACACUGGGACUGAGACACGGCCCAAACUCCUACGGGAGGCAGCAGUGGGGAAUAUUGGACAAUGGGGGGAACCCUGAUCCAGCGACGCCGCGUGAGUGAAGAAGUAUUUCGGUAUGUAAAGCUCUAUCACCAGGGAAGAAAGAAAUGACGGUACCUGACCAAGAAGCCCCGGCUAACUACGUGCCAGCAGCCGCGGUAAUACGUAGGGGGCAAGCGUUAUCCGGAUUUACUGGGUGUAAAGGGAGCGUAGACGGUAAUGCAAGUCUGGAGUGAAAUGCAGGGGCUCAACCCCUGAACUGCUUUGGAAACUGUAUGACUGGAGUGCA